rnacentral:rRNA from 1 species
CGGAGCACGCUCAGAGUGGAAAUCAAGGCCCGAGGCCUUGAAUUGUAAUUUGUAACUGCGUUGCCAACGCGGGCGCAAAUAUAAGUCGCUUGGAAGAGCGCACCACAGAGGGUGAGAGUCCCGUCUAUAAUUUGCAGCCUCGUGUGUACGGCACGCUGUGCAGAGUCACGUUCCUUGGGAAUGGAGCGCAAAGUGGGUGGUAAAUUUCAUCUCAAGCUAAAUAUGAAUUUGAGACCGAUAGCAAACAAGUACCAUGAGGGAAAGGUGAAAAGUACUUUGAAAAGAGAGUUAAAAGUGCCUGAAAUUGCUGGAAGGGAAGCGAAAGGAACCAGCCUGCAUGGUAAGAUUGUCGUGUGAGCUUCUAAAGCCGCACAAUGCAUCUGGCCAUGGCAAUCGUCGGUGGUUGUCGGCCGAGGAUACAAGCAGCUCUUCCCAGCUUCUUUCGAGAUUGCGGAAGCGUUGCUUAAACCCGCUUGGCGACCAUUUCCCUAUCUGGAGUUGAUGUAAGUUUCGCGCUUGCAUUCAACCCGGAUGCUCGACGAUCAAAUGGUUCUUCUCGACCCGUCUUGA